AUUGAACGCUGGCGGCAUGCCUUACACAUGCAAGUCGAACGGUAACAGGUUAAGCUGACGAGUGGCGAACGGGUGAGUAAUACAUCGGAACGUGCCCAGUAGUGGGGGAUAGCCCGGCGAAAGCCGGAUUAAUACCGCAUACGACCUAAGGGUGAAAGGGGGGGAUCGCAAGACCUCUCGCUAUUGGAGCGGCCGAUGUCAGAUUAGCUAGUUGGUGGGGUAAAAGCUCACCAAGGCGACGAUCUGUAGCUGGUCUGAGAGGACGACCAGCCACACUGGGACUGAGACACGGCCCAGACUCCUACGGGAGGCAGCAGUGGGGAAUUUUGGACAAUGGGCGAAAGCCUGAUCCAGCCAUGCCGCGUGCGGGAAGAAGGCCCUCGGGUUGUAAACCGCUUUUGUCAGGGAAGAAAUCCUUUGGGUUAAUACCUCGGGGGGAUGACGGUACCUGAAGAAUAAGCACCGGCUAACUACGUG
rnacentral:rRNA from 1 species